AGUUCGAUUAUGGCUCAGAUUGAACGCUGGCGGGAUGCUUUACACAUGCAAGUCGAACGGCAGCACGGACUUCGGUCUGGUGGCGAGUGGCGAACGGGUGAGUAAUGUAUCGGAACGUGCCUAGUAGCGGGGGAUAACUACGCGAAAGCGUAGCUAAUACCGCAUACGCCCUUCGGGGAAAGCGGGGACCUUCGGGCCUCGCACUAUUAGGAGCGGCCGAUAUCGGAUUAGCUGGGGUUGGUGGGGUAACGGCUCACCAAGGCGACGAUCCGUAGCUGGUUUGAGAGGACGACCAGCCACACUGGGACUGGUGACACGGCCCAGACUCCUACGGAGGCAGCAGUGGGGAAUUUUGGACAAUGGGGAAACUCCUGAUCCAGCCAUCCUGGGUGUGCGAUGAAGGCCUUUCGGUUGUAAAGCACUUUUUGGCAGGAAGAACGGCACGGGGAUAAUACCCCGUGCAACUGAUUGGUACCUGCAGAAUAAGGCACCGGCUAACUACGUGCCAGCAGCCGCGGUAAUACGUAGGGUGCAAGCGUUAAUCGAAUUACUGGGGCGUAAAGCGUGCGCAGGCGGUUCGGCGAGAUGAAAUCCCAGAGCUUAACUUUGGAACUGCAUUUUUAACUAACAGCCAGAGUGUGUCAGAGGGGAGGUGGAAUUCCGCGUGUAGCAGUGAAAUGCGUAGAUAUGCGGAGGAACACCGAUGGCGAAGGCAGCCUCCUGGGAUAACACUGACGCUCAUGCACGAAAGCGAGGGGAGCAAAACAGGAUUAGAUACCCUGGUAGUCCACGCCCUAAACGAUGUCAACUAGCUGUUGGGGCCUUCGGGCCUGGUAGCGGUAGCUAACGUGAAGUUAAUCGCCUGGGGAGUACGGUCGCAAGACAGUCUCAAAGGAAUUGACGGGGACCCGCACAAGCGGUGGAUGAUGUGGAUUAAUGCAACGCGAAAACCUUACCUACCCUUGACAUGUCUGGAAUCCUGAAGAGAUUUGGGAGUGCUCGCAAGAGAACCGGAACACAGGUGCUGCAUGGCUGUCGUCAGCUCGUGUCGAGAUGUUGGGUUAAGUCCCGCAACGAGCGCAACCCUUGUCAUUAGUUGCUACGAAAGGGCACCGACGAGACGCCGGUGACAAACCGAGGAAGGUGGGGAUGACGUCAAGUCCUCAUGGCCCUUAUGGGUAGGGCUUCACACGUCAUACAAUGGUCGGGACAGAGGGUCGCCAACCCGCGAGGGGGUUUUUCAAUCCCAGAAACCCGAUCGUAGUCCGGAUCGCAGUCUGCAACCUGACUGGUGUGGUCGGAACGCUAGUAAUCGCGGAUCAGCAUGUCGCGGUGAAUACGUUCCCGGUCUUGUACACACCGCCCGUCACACCAUGGGAGUGGGUUUUACCAGAAGUAGUUAGCCUAACCGUAAGGAGGGCGAUUACCACGGUAGGAUUCAUGACUAGUAGUCGUAACAAGGUAG
rnacentral:rRNA from 1 species